UACAGAGGGGGCAAGCGUUGUUCGGAUUUACUGGGCGUAAAACGCGUGUAGGCGGCUUUGCAAGUCGGAUGUGAAAUCCCACGGCUCAACCGUGGAAGUGCAUCCGAAACUGCGUAGCUAGAGUCCUGGAGAGGAAGGUGGAAUGCUUGGUGUAGAGGUGAAAUUCGUAGAUAUCAAGCGGAACACCGGUGGCGAAGGCGGCCUUCUGGACAGUGACGUGACGCUGAGACGCGAAAGCGUGGGGAGCAAACAGGG
rnacentral:rRNA from 1 species